rnacentral:lncRNA from 1 species
GACCUACUUGAAGUUGUUGUGACAAUUCAACCACAGAUAGUAUCGAUAUUUACAAGGAUGUAAACUAAUCAAAGGAUGAGAGUUUAAGCUUCCUUUUGCCGGAUAUUUGUUUUUUUGCGACUUUAAUAUUCAUUUGAAGUGUGAAAGGACCAGUUUAGUUAAAAAAUGUCCAACAUGACGACCCUUUUCGCUGCGAAUUCUACAACAACUUCUAUUGGAGGGGUUAAAACAUUAGUUGAUGGUUAUGAUAUACCCGUGUAUGGAAUAAAAGAGGGAAAAUUUUAUAACAUUCACGUGCCAGCGCUGAUAUGUAUUUGCCUUAGUUUUAUAUGCGCAUUAACAAUUAUAGGAUAUUCUUUCUAUCAUCAACAUUUUUCAACUUUUUUCCAGUGGACAAAAAGCGAGAGAUUUGUAGUAUACAUGGCACUAUGUGACGCCCUUUUUAACGCUGCGCAUUUUACCGACCAUAUGCACAUUGCUGUUACAAAAACACUACCACGACCAAAAUCGCUUUGUGCAUUUUAUGGAUUUAUGCUGGCUGAGUUCAUAACAGCACAAAAUUUGAUGGUGAAUAUUGUCGCCAUUAAUGUAUUCAUUUUAGUAUUCUACCGUAAGCACUUAAAUUUCGGAAAAUGCGACUACCGACUCUUGCUCUACAUAUUCGGCGCUCCAGCUUUAGGUGGACUCAUCGCAGGUUCCCUUGGACAACUUGGACCUAAUGGAUCAUUGUAUGUAUUUUCUUCAUAUUACCAUAUCAGUCACGCAUAUGCUUUUGUUGUGUUUGAAUCGCUUUUAUGAAGAAAAAAAAAACAUAGAAAAAUAUUUGAUUCUGUUUUAAUAUGAAUAACGUUAAAUUUGAAAUUAUACCACAAUUUCAUUCUUUUAAGAACAUGAUUAAUAUCAAUGAAUUACAUUUAUACGUUUUCAUUCGAUGAACAGAAAAUGUGAUACCAAAACUGGUUAAUUGUUGUACGCAAAACAAUAAAAUGGUUGAUUCGAGUAUUUUGCGAUCAUAUAAAAAGGGUUCUGUUUGUAAUGUAUACUGAUACCAAUUUAUUAAUUUAUCUGUUGGCAAACACUUAUCAGGAAUGUUUCUGUUCGCAUUCCGUAGAUUGGCCUACACUAUUUUAUGAGUUCGUUUGUUAAAAUAUAUAUUGAAAAUUUAUUUUGAAAGUUGUUUUUUUCUUUUCAGCUGUUAUUUUGAUGGAAUUAAAGGAAAAUGGACGGGUGUUUUCUUCACAACAGUACCUCUUUUGCUGGUUGUUGUCAUAAACACGAUUCUUUACAUUUUAAGUUGGUUAAGGAUCUACAAAGAAGCCAAAGAAAUUAAAGAUUCACUCGGAAAGUCCUCUAGAGUUUUAAGAGCUUCACAUAAAGCUGCAAAAACAAUGUCAUUAUUUGUCGCAGCAUUCUUCGUUCAAUGGUGGGCAAUGGCGUUAUAUGGUAUUUGGCAGUUGGUUGCUGAUGUUCCAUUUCUUUUAUUCAAUUUUGUGACAACAUUUUCCAACGUAGGUGGUAUUUUGAAUGGAAUAGUGUUUAUCAUCAUAAUGCGCAGAAAACGCGAGAAGGCAGAUUCAAGUACUAAAGCCUCCGACGACAAGGUGGGAUCUGGUCAUACCGCAUCUACACCUAUCCACUCAACCGUACAUUCGAACAGUCAUUUUGCAAAUGUUGUUUAAAUAAUUAACGACACGGAAUAUGUUUUACUUUUCUUUGAUACUAUAAUUCAAAUAUACUGGAAUUUGUUUUUGUCAUGUAAAAAUAUGAGUACUUGUAGUUCUAAAAAGUAAAAUCACAAAAAUACUGAACUCAGAAGAAAACUCAAUUCGGAAAAUCUAUAAUCACAUGGCAAAAUCAAAUAACAAAACGCAUCAAAAACGAAUGGACAAGAACUGUCAUAUUCCUGACUUGGUUCAUGCAUUUUCAAAUGUAGAAAAUGGUGGAUUGAACCUGGUUUUGUGAUAACAUUGUUAUUUCAACUUUGAUUUAAGGUGUGCAUAUUUACCUUUGUCUGAUAUGAAAGACAUAUAACAUUUUGAGUAUGUAACGAUAUCUAAAACAAAGGCGUAUAGAUAUACGCACGAAAAUUGGAGAAAUUAGUAUUGGAACAUUUCAAAUGCACGAAUUGAGAAUGAUCAAUUGUGUAUCAUGACGUACCCUCGGCCUGGUUCUCUGUUCAUUGUCUAAGGAAAACCACUUUACUGUACAAAUACCAACAUGUGGGUUCCCAGGUAGCUAUACGCUGGUAUUUUACAGUAAUGGUGUUUUUUCUUAGACAAUGAACAGAGAUCCAAGCCAAGGGUAUCUUUAUCCGGUGGUUAUGAUACACAGUGUUUAUAUCCUUUCAAGCAUGUACCCCAGUCGAGUUGCCCUUAUGUAAAUGUAUGCUUAUAUCGAAUUCAAAACUCAGUUUACAAGAGCUUUCAAAAGUAUAAAUUCAAAGAAGGGUUGAUAAAUCCAUGGAAAACCAUAAAAAGACUAAAAACAAACCGCAAAUGACUAAAUCUAAAGACAACAAAAAAAAACCUCAUCAAGUUAAUUACAGGUUUUCCUUCAAAUUCGUCACGAGGGUUUUCAUAAAAAAAAAGAUUCGACAUUAAUGUUAAGACCCCUUGAUUGCAUAUCAUGUAUAUAAGCACUUAUCCUCUAUCAAGGAUAUCAAAAUGCGUUAUAAAAUUAUGUUAAAUACAGUCACUGACUUAUAAAGCUAUAAACCACAAUAACCACUGACAUUGGUCUACACUUCCGCCUGUUGGUCACGAACAUGAACUAGUUUCCUUCAAAAUAUAUUAAAAAGAUAGUAUUAUGUUUUGUUUGUUUGUUAAUAAAAUCGUAUAAAAAU